rnacentral:rRNA from 1 species
UUGGGGAAUAUUGGACAAUGGGCGAAAGCCUGAUCCAGCCAUGCCGCGUGUGUGAAGAAGGUCUUCGGAUUGUAAAGCACUUUAAGUUGGGAGGAAGGGUAGUAACCUAAUACGUUGCUACUUUGACGUUACCGACAGAAUAAGCACCGGCUAACUUCGUGCCAGCAGCCGCGGUAAUACGAAGGGUGCAAGCGUUAAUCGGAAUUACUGGGCGUAAAGCGCGCGUAGGUGGUUCAGUAAGUUGGAAGUGAAAUCCCCGGGCUCAACCUGGGAACUGCCUCCAAAACUGCAUGACUAGAGUACGGUAGAGGGUAGUGGAAUUUCCUGUGUAGCGGUGAAAUGCGUAGAUAUAGGAAGGAACACCAGUGGCGAAGGCGACUACCUGGACUGAUACUGACACUGAGGUGCGAAAGCGUGGGGAGCAAACAGGAUUAGAAACCCUAGUAGUCC